rnacentral:lncRNA from 1 species
UGAUAAAGGAAAAGUUGAUGCAGUUGGUUAGAGAAAGCAAGAGACUAAGAAGAGAGAGGAAGAAAGCUAGGAUUAACAACACUGAGAUUGGUGGCUCUAGUGAUGAUUUUGAGUCCGAUGGUGAUGAUGAUGAUGACUAUGAUGACGGUUUUCAGAGUUUGUUUGAGCCUGAAGAUUUUUAUGUGGAUGAUGAUGGUGAUAAGAAGGGUGAGAUAAUUGACUACAGGGAGAAAGGGCAGUUUUGGAAUGUUGAUGCUCAUUCUGUUCAUGAUGGCGGGAAGCAACAAAUGGAACCUUGGUAGAAAAGAAUGUCAAGUGUUCAGAUCUUACCAGAAAAUAAUCAAAGUGCGAGGAUAGUAUUAUGGCAGUUAUAUGAAUGACUGUAAAGACGAAGUCUCACAGUCUGUAUCUAUAUAUAUGAAGCAAAUGGCCCUUCACCUAAAGGGUAAUUUUUCUGAAAUACCUUACAUUAUCCUGAGGUGAAAAGUUUACUUAAUUCAAAACCACUUCCCUUCACUUUCCUGUUAAUAAAAUUGGCUUAUGGAAGAAGCAGAUUGUAGGCAACCUACAUAAUUGAAGCUUAAUACAAGGUAUCUAAAUUUGUGCUGAAUUUGUUUUUCAUAUUCUCUUAUUUUAUUCGAGGAAUUAUAACUGUUUUGUUUAAAAGUUUUCCUAGAUGAGUAAUCAGUAGUCAUUUUACUUGGUCUUCUCUAGUAGUUUGGAAACUAAAGGUGUAACCCUAAUCUUUUCAAUGUAUUAGAUUAUCAUCUUUGAUAAAAUGGAGCGUGUUCUAUGGAUCAUUCUAAAUUUGGUUGUAUCCUAGUUUAUGCUCCGAAAAUGAUGAAUUGGCUUUCGAUGACUACAUAGUACGAGCCCUACUACGUGGACAGAUACGGGUCAAACAUUUUUCUAAUUCUGUUACCACAGUAACCAGGAUUUGGUUCUAUGCAGAGGCUUUUCUUCCUGACCUACUGGUGGAUUUGGGAAAAGUCAAGUCUAAAACUUACAAGUGCAUAAUUUCACCACAAAUUUUCUCAGAGAUGGCCUGCUUGCUUAUGAAGGGUUGUUUAUGUCUUUGCGAAAGUGUUGGACUCCUUUGUUGCCCUUACCUUAUUAAAUGUUUCCUUCCCUUGCAGGCCAUGAAGUGGCACAGAUAAGUGAUCAAGCUCUUCAUGGAGGCAACAUAUGCAUAAAGAUAGCUGAUUGGUGUAUGUCCAGUGCAGCAACUGAGUUCUCAACCUCUGCAUCAAUGGCUCCAUUACCUUCGUGCUGUUCAGCUAUGUAUAUCUACUCAAAAAGUGGUUUCACUUGGAAUUUCCUUUCUCGAGCGUGAGCAUAGGUAUGGAGAAUGGAAUUACCUUUCACUUUUUACAUUGAUUCAAGUCGCUUUGAUAUAUUUCGACUACGCUGUUACUCCUAAUGUUUGAUUAACAUCUGUGAAUGAAAUAGUUGAUACACUAUUUCAUUACUACGAAACACAACAAAUUGUUGUUGGCCAACACUAGAACUCAUCAUUACUGCCAAAACUAGAACUCGUCAAGCAUAUAUAUACACACUAUUUGAUUAACAAUUUAUGGACCGUUGGAUUUCCAAAGGUAAAAAAAAUUUAAAAAUCUUAUUUAAUUUCAGCCGUUGUAUCUGAGAUCAACAGUUCACGUUAUUCGGUUUUAUAAAUUAUAAAAAAAAAGAGUUUAAAAUUCUGAAAUGUUACCGUUGUGCCACGUGACAUAAUUUGGGAUGUUGGAAUUCAAUUUUUUUUAAUCCAAUAGCAGAGAUUAAUUAUGUGAACAAAAAAUUAAAAAUUGUAAAAAAUUAAUAAAAAUUUUGAAAAAUUGAAAGAAAAAAUUGAUUUUACUUAUCUAUAAAUACAUUCUCAUUAUCUUCUACCUUACACCACAAUUUCAUAUUUUGUCACGUGGCGCAACGAGAACGAUUAAAAAUCUUAUUCGAAAUUACAAAUAAAAUUAUUUUGUAUUAUUUUAUAAAUUAAAGAAAUACUAAUAUUUUAUUACCUAUUGUUAGGGUGUAGGGGUGGAGAUGCAAAAGAUAAUUACUGUUCAUUAAAGACAAUUAUUGUUUACUGGGUAUAUUAAAUAGUGAAUAGUCCUAGGGACUUAACAACGGUGCAAAUGGGGUUUCUUGUCGACAAAUGAACACGUGACAUUGAGUAACUCCACCGUGGUGGAUUGCUCGGGGGACAGGCGAGAGAAAAGGGCCCGAGGCCCUAUGGAUUCACUCCAGCGUGAAGGAGCUCGAGUGGAGGUGGAGGCUUGAGCUCCGGGCCUGUGAAGAAUUGCCAGCCCUUGAGCCCGAGUGGAUUGGCUGUCAGGGCUGACGUCAGCCUUGCAGCAGGCCCUUUUUUUAUUUUUUUCUGUCAGGCGCGUCGCCCGACAUCUUUUCAAAAAAAUCAGCCCACUUUUCAGACUGAAAUGUUACUGUUGGGAAGUCACGUGGCUUCCCACGGUCCGUUUGAUCUCAACGGCUCUUUAACUUGGACCGUUCGAUCUCAACGGUAAAAAAAAAUCUUAUUUAAAAUCUACCGUUCGAUCUGAGUUCAACGGUCAAUAUUAAUAUGCUUUAUAAAUAAAAAGAAAAAAUAGUUUUAAAAUUAAGAAAAGUUACUGUUGUGACACUAGGCACAAUCUGGAGUGUUGUAAUUCAAUUUUUUUUAAAUCCAACGACAGAGAUUAAUUAUUUAAAUUAAAAAAUUAAAAAAAUUGUAAAAAAUCCGAAAAAAUAUCUGAAAAUUUAAAAAAAAAUGUUUCUACUUUUCUAUAAAUGUCUUCUCAUUAUCAUCUACCUUACACCACAAUUUCAGAUUUUCUCAACUACUUUCAAUCACAUUCCUAUCUUUCUCUCAAGGUUUCAAUAUGAUUUUUUUCAAUAAAAUGACUAUUGAUGCAUGUACGAAUUGGACGCUUCUUGAAGAUGUUGCAUUGUGUACUAAUUGGGUUGAAAUUACUUAUAGUUCGCGUACGGGUAAUGAGAUGCAAUUGCGAGAAAUGUGGAGUCUUAUUCAUAUCAAUUAUCUUGAAAAAAUGGGUGGGAGUAGAACCAAAGAAUCAAUGUCUAGUUGUUAGAAAUUACUUAGCCAAUCAUUUAGUAUUUGGAGAGACGUCUUGGCACAAGCUAGUAGUAAUCUUCGAAGUGGGGAAAAUUACACGGAUCAGGUAACAAUAUAUUAUUUAUUUGUUUGUACUAUACCCAAAUUUACAUUGUAAUUAUUUGUUUGUAUUAUUUAUUUGUUAUCUACUUUAAUUAUAAUUAUUUGUUUGUAUUAUUUAUUUGUUACAUACUUUGAUUAUAAUUUUUUGUUUGUAUUAUAUAUUUGUUUCAUACUUUUUAUUAUAAUUAUUUAUUUGUUACCUACUUUGAUUAUAAUUAUUUCUUCUCCCCCAUUAUGUAGUUAAUUCAAGCACAAGCUUGGUAUGGUGCCAAAACCAAAAGCAAAAAUAAAUCAUUCAACCGGUGAGAAUGUUGGAAUAUUAUCAAAGAUUGUCCUAAAUUCAGAGUUGUGCAUGUCGGUCCAGAAGUUGUCAUGAACAACACCCAUCUACACUCUACACCUGAUAAUGGCUCGCAUAAAGAUGAUGGAGAAGAAGUGCCCGAAACGCCCAUCCCUGAACAAGCGUCGGGUUCGACCCGUUAUCCAAUUAGGUCUCAAUGUAAGAAGGCUUCAAAGAGAAAAGGAAGUGCUUCCAAGCAUGAUUAUGCAAAGUACAUGGAAGAACUUACUCGCCAUAGUAAAUUGACUUUGGCACGGGAAAUAGCGAAAUUUGAGGCUAAUAAUGCUAGAGAUGAGGCAAAAGUUGUAGCUGUUGAGAGAGAAUUUCAAGCUAAUGAGAAAGAAAGAUAGCUACUUAGGCAAGAAAGGGAACUGGUUAGAGAAGAAAGAAUGGCUCAAUGAGAUCAUGAGAUUAUGAACACGCAUUUAGAAGGGAAGUCUUCAAAUUGUAAAUAUUUUUGGAAGUCGAAGAAAGAGGAUGUAGUGCGUAGGAGGCGUGCAAGAGAAGCGAGAGGAAGAGGAGAUAGUCCUAGCACGACAAGAGAAAAUCAUCCUAGCACCACAAAUUGGUUAAGUGAUGAUGAUUAGAGUACUUUUGUAAUCGGAGCCCAUAGUUUUCUAAUCGCAUUGAGUUGUAGUUUAUUAUUUAUUGAAUAGAGUAUUUAUGUUGUUUCCAAUUUAUUACAUAAAACUCACGAAAUAAAACACACCAAAUAAAAUUACAUAGACAUACCAAAUAAUAAAAAAACACACUAAAUGAACUUAAUUAUCUUCAGCUUGUUUCAAUACCCACUGGUGCUCUAUCAAGUCAUUUUGCCGGGCAUUGUGCAUGUCUAGCCUUUGAAAUGCAGUAUAUCGUUGAAUGAUCAUUUCAUUGUAACGUUCAUCCCUUUCUAAUGACUCAUGUUGCAUGGGCUCAUCGGUUGCGUCAUGAGCACAAUAUAUAUGUGUUCUUGAAUUGUUCAUCGUGUCUGGCUCAUAUUCAUCAACAGCUUUAUAAUCGUACUCAUCUUCCACAAUCAUGUUGUGAAGAAUGAUGCACGUCAUCUUGAUGGAUCGAAGCGACUCUACAUCAAACAAUCUGGCAGCACCCCUAUCGAUCGCCCAGCGAGCUUGGAGAAUACCGAAACAACGCUUCACAUCCUUCCCGCACCCCUCUUGACAGCUUGCAAAGUGUUUUUCCUUUGCACUUCGCGGACGUGGCACUGUUUUGACAAAUGUUGACAACCUUGGGUAAAUGCCAUCACCUAAAUAGUAUGGCCUGUCGUACAUACGUCCGUUGACCUCAUAUGUGACUUUUGGUGCCUUUCCUUGCAGGACAUCGUUGAACACUGGGGAUUCGGUAAGGACGUUGAGGUCAUUUUGAGCUCCCGGAACCCCGAAAAAUGCGUGCUAAAUCCAUGUAUCAAAAGAUGUCACCGUCUCCAAAAUGAUACUUUUUGCUCCUUUUUUGUCUCCAUAAGCGUCUUGCCAUGCACUUGGACAGUUUUUCAAUGUCCAAUGCAUACAAUCAAUGCUCCCAAUCAUCCCAGGAAAACCUCGUAUCUCGGCCUUCUUCAGAAGCCUUUCCAAGUCCAUGUGAGUAUGUUGCCGGAGGUACUCUGCGGUGUAAAUAGAUUCGAUUGCUCCGCAAAACCUCAUCAGGGGCUGAAGAAUGGUUGAUUUCCCUAUCCUCGCUAUCUCAUCCACUUGGUCUGCAGAUGCUCCAUAUGCAUGCAAGCAUCCGCAGCGCAGCAGUAAUUUUUUGCUCGGAAAAGAGACCCAUAGUACCAAAAGCAUCAUUCUUUUGCACAAAGUAAAAAUCAUGGUUGCAAACAGUAAUCAAGAUUUUGUUGAACAAAUAUCGUUCCAUUCUAAAACGACGUCUAAAGUACGUAUCAGGAAAUGCAAUGUUAUGGAUAAAAUAAUCGUCCAACAGCUCCACACCUCGUCGUUGCCUGUUUCUAUCAAGGUUUUUGGAACGGGUGGGCCUGCAUAUCUGAGCCACAGCUUGGAUGACUCGAUAGGAAUGUGAGUCUCUGGCCAUUCUUACUUCGUCAUCUCUCCUUCCCCGCUCUUCAUCCUCUUCUUUCUCAUUUUGGGCUAUAUGGAGAUUCAACAUUCCUUCAGAUAGUGCCACGUGGCAUGUCGUUAUUCGUUAAAAAUCUGAUCGAAAUCUAUCCUAAAAGAUUCUGAAAAGAUAACGACACGUGGCACAACGACAUAGAAUAAAAAUCUUAUCGAAAUCAAUCACCAAUAAUUAUUUUUUCGGAUAAUGACACAUGGCGUAACGAGAACGAUUUAAAAUCUGAUCGAAAUCUGUCUUGAAAGAUUCUGAAAAGAUAACGACACGUGGCACAAUGACAUUGGAUAAAAAUCUUAUUGAAAUCUAUGACCAAUAAUAGUCGUUUUGGGUAAAUGACACGUGGCGCAACGAGAACGAUUUAUAAUAUCUUAUCCGAAAUUACAAAUAAAAUUAUUUACUAUUAUUUUGUAAAAAAAAAAAAUACUAUUUUAUUGCUAUUGCCAGGACUAUUCAAGUGCAACGGUGGAGAUGCAAAAGACAAUUACUGUUCAUUAAGGGCAAUUACUGUUAACAAGGUGGAUUGAAUAGUGGAUUGCUUGGGGGAGGGCUCCUACAUUGGAGUUGCUCUUAUAUCUUCACAGUCUGUACAUCCAUCCAUCGCCCCCACUGAAAAUAUCAAAUUAUUAUUUUUGCAUCGUUAUCUCUCGCCCACUCUCUUUCUCUCUCGUCUGUUUCUCUCUCCUCUCUCAUUCACACACACAAUUUGAUAACAGUUUUUUACGCAAUUGUCUGCCCUUCCACUUUCCGUAUCCUCCUAUUUUGUAUGAUCACGGCUAAAUUAUAUUAAUAUUUUAUAUUAUAUUUUAUAAAAUAAUAAAAUAGUAAUAUAAAAUAUUGAGCUCCACGUACAUUCACGGAGGGAGAAAAUAGAGAAAUAGGGGUUGAAGGAGGAGCAAUUUUUUCCCUUUUCUUUAGUUUUCUUUCCAGGCUUUGCAAUUCAAAUCAUGCCAACAGCUGGGUAGCUGUUGCCUGAUUGGUUGAUUGAUUGAAAUCCAUUCACUUCCUUUGCAAAAAAGAAAAGCCCAAAUCUCAGUUUUUCAUGCAGGUGCUUUUUGUUUCCUCCCUUCCGCUAAUCUCUCUCAAUUUUUAUUUUUUUCCCCCAAUUUUUUACCUAGGGUUUCGGGGUUUCAAUUUUAGUUUUUUGUUGUUGUUGUUGUUGUUGUUGUUUUUAUUGUUUUGAAUAGUUUGAUUUGAAAACGCUCAGACAUGGUUUCAAAGUCGUGUCCUUUCUGGUUGGGGUGUUUGUGUUUGUGUGUAUGUGAUCAAAGUAUAUGCAAAUUUUAUUAAUAUUUUGUUAGAAUUAGUAGUUGAGCUUCCCAUAAAUUUGUUUUCUUUGGCCGUAUGUAGUUUUUUUUUUUUUUUGUAGAUUUUUAUAGAUGUCAGAGGAACUGUAGACUUUCAAUAACAUGUAUAGAUUCUUCUAUCUGUUAUGUUGCCAUAUCUAUAUGUUCUUGUUUGUUCAUUUCAUGGGAAUUGGGUUUUUCUUUUCGGUUUUUUUAUAUCGGUACAUAUGUUUAUGUGGGAAAUGAAUUAUGAUCAAUCAGCAAGUCUGUGGGUGUGUUUGGUGAUUAUAAAGUGUGCUGGAAUUGUAUUGAAGAUGUUGAAAUUGUGAACUUUGAAUGCAGAUAGAGCUUGUCUUACCAGCAGGGCUAUCAAUUCGAUUAUAUGGCGGAUGAAGGGGACAUGUCUGAUUUUGUUGAGGAUGUGGAGGAAGAAAAUCAAGGUGGAGAUAUGGGUCUUGAUGAAUAUGACAUGGUUUGUUUCCAUCAACUCUUGGCUCCCAUUGUUCAAUCCUUUGUUUUUUCCAGUUGUACUAAAUGGACUUGAAAUUCCUUGUUCUUCAGUUUGAGCAGCUUACCAAAGUGUCAGAUACGUCAUCUGCACAAGCAAGAAAGGGAAAGGACAUUCAAGGUAUUCCAUGGGACAGAUUGAGCAUAACAAAGGAAAAAUACAGAUUGACGAGGCUAGAACAGUACAGAAAUUAUGAGAACAUCCCUUUAUCUGGGGAAGCUGUGGACAAGGUUUUCUUCUUGUUCUCGAGCAUUUUCUUCAUUUCAUUUCCCCAAUUAGCAAGUCACUAUUGAAGUUAGCAGACGUCACUAAUAAUAUGUGUUAACUUUGACCAGGAGUGCAAACAAAUGCAGAAAGGUGGAAACUACUAUGACUUCUUCCAUAAUACAAGACUGGUUAAACCUACAAUCCUUCAUUUCCAGGUUUGUGGACUUGCAAUGCCAUAGCUGUUUAUUAUUUUUACAUUUUUUUAUGGUAUACUUCACCACUAAUCCCUCUCUCUCUCUCUCUCUCUCUCUCUCUCUCUCUCUCUCAUGGGUUUUGUGUGUAUGAACUUAUUGCCUUGGAUAAUUUUGCUUUAGUUAAAUGAUACUUUUUUGUACUCUAACAAGAUAAAGUUAUCCACUCCUUUUAGCUGUUUUCGCAAGCUAAUGUUCAUAAAACUUUUCCACGAUAAUGUUCACGAAGUUUACCUUUAUAUCCUACUUGACAUUCUUUAUUGAUUUUUACAUGCAGCUGAGAAAUUUGGUUUGGGCCACUUCAAAGCAUGAUGUCUACUUCAUGUCCCACUUUUCAGUCAUGCAUUGGUCUUCUCUAUCUGGGAAUUUGUCUGAGGUUCUCAAUUUUGCAGGACAUGUUGCCCCAACAGAGGUAGUACAACCUCCUGUACAUAAUGUGUAUGAUCUAGUUUCUUUGAAAGAAAAUAAAGUAAUCAAAUGGAUUGUUUUUCAUUGUUUUUCAGCUUUUGUUGGUUUAUGCUCUCCCCCUCCCCCUCCCAAUUAUGUUACAUAUGUUGAAGUGUUCCUUAUAAUUGCUAUUUGUCCUCUACUUGUGUCCAUAGUUUAAGUUUGCCAAGUUCUAUGGUCUUGCAGAAACAUGCAGGAAGUUUAUUGGAGGGUUUUAUGCAGACUCAGAUAAGCACACUGGCAGUCAAGGACAAUUUUCUUGUUGCUGGUGGCUUUCAAGGAGAGCUUACUUGUAAAGUGAGUUUCUAAUGUUUACAUCUCAAUAGCGUGUUGACAGUGCAUGUCUGUUUGAUGAGAGUUAAGUAUUUCCACAUUAGACGUAUUGUUUGGUAAAUCUGACAAUUAGACUUGUCUGGGAUCGUGCCAUUCUGAUGAUUUUGCUUUGCCAUUGACUUGUCAAGAAAAGAGCUAAUGCCAUUAGCUGGCUGGAAAUUUGGUUACUGUAUUUGAUCUUGGAAAAUUACUUUUUUUUUUUUGGGUAGAGAUAUGACCUCGCUACCAGAGUUUGAACUCCAGUUUAGUUUGUCCUUGACCAAUCAGAACAACUGGCAAUAUCGGCUUUCAGGGGAGUCAGACAUGAAUAGUUUGGUUUUUAUAUUAUGAUCCAUGUUGUGUGGUGCUCGUAAUUUCUGUCUUGAAAUUAAUACUUUCUACCUAGGAAAACAAAAAUGAAUUUUGUAAUAAUAUUAUUAACUUUGUGAUGGGGGUUGUUAAUAUUAUUUUUUUACAUGUUGUGUUGAGUGUGAAUACAACUCCGCCUAUGUCUUACAUGGCCGGUCCCAAGCCCGGAUAAAGGAGGAGGGGGAGGGCGUCAGGUAGUCGACAGCCGGCACUCCAUGAUCACGUCGAAUCCUUAUGAAAAUGAAUCCAGAACAAAAUCGCGCCAAAGCUAGGGCGUCACCCGUAAGUGGCGCGCUGUGUGGCCCGAGCACAGUGAUAAGUGAGCAAGGGUCGCUGUAUCUCCAUCGGCACCCGGAUGCAGUGUUAAAUGAGCAAGGGGGUCAUAGAAACUUCUUUUCGAACGACUCAACUCAAAGUUGUUUGGGAGCAUAUGCUCCUAUCAACUUUACCCGGGACACACAAAAGAAGUACUUUGAUCCUAUUAGACGGAGGAGGGUGAAGAAGCUAGGACAGAAGGGUAGAGUUCAAGAGAGCAAAAUGCGUUUAGGAACGUGGAAUAUAGGAACCUUAACGGGAAAAUCUAUGGAAGUAGUGGAAGUUAUGGUGAGGAGAAGGAUAAAUAUUAUGUGCCUACAAGAAACUAAGUGGGUUGGUAGUAAGGCAAAGGAUCUAGAAAACUCAGGGUUUAAACUUUGGUAUUCGGGCACAAAUAGAACGAGAAACGGUGUUGGCAUCAUCGUGGACAAGACCUUGGUACAAGAUGUUGUAGAUGUCAAGAGGGUAGGAGAUAGAAUCAUGGCAAUCAAGAUUGUAAUAGGACAAGAACUUAUCAAUGUGAUUAGUGCGUACGCACCUCAAGUAGGGUUGGAUACGAGUUCGAAGGAGAAAUUUUGGGAAGAUCUUGGAGACUUGGUGCAAGGAAUUGCUCAGACGGAGAAGUUAUUUAUAGGAGGAGAUUUAAAUGGACACGUGGGUAGGGAGACAGGCAACUAUGGAGGUUUUCAUGGUGGCCAUGGUUUUGGGGAGAGAAACGAGGAUGGGGAAGCUAUCUUGGAUUUUGCAAUGGCAUAUGAUCUCUUCUUAGCCAACACCUUCUUUAAGAAGAGAGAAGAACAUGUAAUCACCUACAAGAGUGGGUCGUCAAAAAACACAAAUAGAUUUUCUUCUAAUGAGGAAAGGGGAUCGUAUAACUUGUAAGGAUUGCAAAGUUAUACCAGGAGAGAGCGUGGCUAAUCAACAUCGCUUGUUGGUGAUGGAUGUACAUAUCAAAAGAGUAAGACAAAAGAACAAGACUUGGAAGUGCCCAAGGACUAGAUGGUGGAAUCUAAAAGAAGAAAAACAAGCCAUUUUCAAAGAGAAGGUAAUCACCCAAUGUGUGUGGGAUAGAGAGGGGGAAGCUAGCCAAAUGUGGGAUUCCAUGGCUAGUUGUAUCCGAAAAGUAGCAAAAGAGGUAUUAGGAGAGUCCAAGGGCUUUGCCCCACACCAAAAGGAAUCUUGGUGGUGGAAUGAGGAGGUACAAACAAAGGUGAAGGCUAAGAAGGAAUGUUGUAAAGCCUUAUACAAGGAGAGGACCGAUGAAAAUGGUGAAAGGUAUAGAAAAGCGAAGCAAGAGGCGAAGAAAGCUGUCAGAGAAGCUAAGUUAGCGGCUUACGACGAUAUGUAUAAACGACUAGAUACCAAAGAAGGGAGAGUUGGAUAUCUAUAAACUAUCUAGAGCAAGGGAAAAGAAGACAAGGGACCUAAACCAAGUGAGGUGCAUCAAGGAUGAGGAUGGAAAGGUUCUUGCUACAGAGAACGCGGUUAAAGACAGAUGGAGAGGUUAUUUUCAUAAUCUUUUCAAUGAAGGACAUGAAAUGAGUGCUUCUUUAGGGGAGUUGAGUAACUCAGAAGAGUGUAGAAACUACUCUUUUUAUCGUCGAAUCCGGAAGGAAGAAGUGGUUGUAGCUUUGAAGAAGAUGAAGCAUAAAAAAAGCAAUAGGCCCAGACGAUAUACCAAUCGAAGUGUGGAAACUUUUGGGAGAGACAGGUAUAACAUGGCUCACUGACCUUUUCAAUAGGAUUUUGAAAACGAAGAAGAUGCCAAAUGAGUGGCGAACGAGCACUUUGGUGCCUAUCUACAAGAAUAAGGGCGACGUACAAAAUUGCAUGAACUAUAGGGGUAUUAAGCUAAUGAGUCAUACAAUGAAGCUCUGGGAGAGAGUCAUUGAGCAUAGAUUGAGACAAGAGACACGGGUUUCGGACAACCAAUUCGGGUUCAUGCCAGGGCGCUCAACCAUGGAGGCAAUCUAUCUCUUACGAAGAUUGAUGGAAAGAUAUAGAGAUGGGAAAAAGGAUUUACACAUGGUCUUUAUAGAUUUGGAAAAAGCGUAUGAUAGGGUCCCAAGAGACAUUCUUUGGAGGAUUUUAGAGAAGAAAGGAGUACGAGUAGCAUAUAUCCAAGCUAUAAAGGAUAUGUAUGAAGGAGCAAAGACUGCCGUAAGAACUCAUGAAGGACAAACCGAAAGCUUUCCCAUAACUGUAGGAUUACAUCAAGGCUCAUCCUUAAGUCCUUACCUUUUUGCGUUGGUAAUGGAUGAGUUAACAGGACAUAUUCAAGAUGAUAUUCCUUGGUGUAUGCUUUUUGCAGACGAUAUAGUGUUGAUAGAUGAAACUCGGGAAGGGGUAAAUGCAAAGCUUAACCUUUGGAGAGAAGUGUUGGAAUCUAAAGGUCUUCGCCUAAGCCGAUCAAAGACAGAAUAUAUGGAGUGCAAGUUCAGUGCAAAUGGAGGCCAAAACGAGUUAGGGGUGAGGAUCGGAGAUCAAGAAAUACCAAAGAGCGACCGUUUUCGUUACCUAGGAUCUAUCUUGCAAAAGAACGGAGAAUUAGAUGGAGAUCUCAACCAUAGAAUACAAGCUGGAUGGAUGAAGUGGAAGAGUGCAUCCGGCGUGUUAUGUGACCGCCGUAUGCCACUGAAGCUCAAGGGAAAAUUUUAUAGGACGGCAAUAAGGCCGGCGAUGCUGUAUGGCACAGAAUGUUGGGCGGUGAAACAUCAGCACGUACACAAAAUGGGUGUAGCGGAGAUGAGGAUGCUUCGUUGGAUGUGUGGGCACACGAGAAAGGAUAAGAUUAGGAAUGAGGAUAUCCGGGGUAAAGUAGGAGUAGUCGAAAUUGAAGGAAAGAUGAGAGAAAAUCGGUUACGGUGGUUUGGACAUGUGCAAAGAAGGCCUACUGACGCUCCGAUUAGAAGAUGCGACUAUGGGACAGAGGUUCAGGGCCGAAGGGGUAGAGGAAGACCUAGGAAAACUUUGGAAGAGACUCUAAGAAAAGACUUAGAGUACUUGGAUCUAACGAAGGACAUGACACAGGAUCGAGCACAAUGGCGUUCUAAGAUUCAUAUAGCCGAUCCCACCCAGUGACUUGGAUUUUCCAAGUCUCCAACCGAGAAGUUUUCCUCACUCGGAAAAUUAAGGGAACACUACCCCAACCUACAUGCUCCACUCAGAAAGCUUCAACAUACAAGCUUCAACAAAAGAAAAUUCAAAGAACUUAGCGAAUAAGGCUUUGGUGUAUUUAACACAAUACGUUGAAAUGAAGGAAAGCUUAUUUAUUGAUAUCCCCGAUAAGCUACAAAUAUGUACAUAUACAUGAGUCAAAAUAAACACAAAAGAGGGAGCCUUCACAAAGGUUGCUUAGGAGAAGUCUCAGCAAUCGGUAGAGCCCCAGAAAGAGAAGGCACCGGAGGGGGAUCAUUUGGAGCCUCAGUACUGGACAGAACCCUAGAAGGAGAGGCAUCAGAGGUUGAUCAUUUGGAGCUUCAUUACGCGGUACAGCCCCAGAAGACGAAGGCAAUAAAUGCCUUUGGAACAAACCCACAAAUCUCUGAUGAUCAAGUAAAACCUGACCAUCAGUUUCCUUCAUCUGGUCAAGCUUCCUCUUCAUGUUUGUAGCAUAGUCAUGUGCGAGCCGGUGCAACUGUUUAUUCUCAUGCUUGAGCCCUCUAAUCUCCUGUUUAAGACUCAUCACUUCAGCCGCCAAUGAUUCAACUUGGCGGGUUCGAGCAAAUAGGCGUUGGGCCAUAUUAGACACAGAACCUGCACACUGAACACUGAGAGCCAGCGAAUCCUUAACAGCUAACUCAUCAGACCGUUUGGAAAGUAGUCUAAUAUCUUUGGGAGUGAGAAGGUUCCUGGCCACCACCGCAGCGGUCAUAUCAUUCUUCAUCACGGAAUCCCCAACGGUAAGAGGACCAGUAGGGGAGACGAAGGAUGGGCGCCAUAUGUUGUCUGGAGAAGGCGGGGCUGCCUCUUCAACAAGGUUCAAGUCAAAACGACGGUCGGAGGGGCCAGACAUUUUCAAAGGUGUUGAAGAGAGAAGAGGUCGGACAAAUCAAGAUCUUAGAAGUGCAAGAAUGAAGCUUCUACUGGUGGAGAUUCAAGUGUGCUUUGGAACUUAAUGCCAGCCCCUAUAAAAAAUCUGCACUCGACGGAGCUUUCAGAAAUCGAAGAGGCGCCUGCUCAGAAAUCGAAGAGGCGUUUGCUUUCUCAAAAGCUGGGCUGCUUAGAGAUCACGAGGGUUGAUCUCAGAAAUCGAAGAGGCGUUUGCUUUCUCAAAAGUUGGGCUGCUCGCUCAAAGACCACAAAGGCCGAUCUCAGAAAUCGAAGAGGCGCUCGCUUUCUCAAAAGUUGGGCUCCCCAGAGACCACGAGGGCCGAUCUCAGAAAUCGAAGAGGCACCUACUUUUCCAGCCUUGUCAACACCUGUCACACGCACACUCAGCUUUGCGGAAAUUAUGGGCAUUCUAUCGAAGACUUCUGGGGAAGUAGAAAACACAUGAAUCUUACUGUUCAAUCACCCACUUGCCACACGCAACAAUAGCUCAUGGGUACCACAGAAAACUUUGCCAAAGUUCUCUGCCAAAGUUGAGCACGUGAAGCUUGCAGCUCCCACUACAUCGCUCUGACCAAGAAGGGUAAAAGAAUAGCAAAUAAAUAGCACUAACAAAGUUUAAACCCAUAAAUUUUGAAGGUCUAGCUACCAUAUUAUUACCCACAAGGGUAAAGGAACAGUACCACUGCUGGAUAAUUGGAAAGUCCCUGUGUGUCAACCUCUGUGCUUCGUGGCAAGGUAGACUAGCAAACAUGCCCAACCUUUACUCACAUUCGAGAAAACACUCCCAAUAAGAUUGCUUGCUCCAAAAUCGAAGAGGCACCGUCCUCCGAAUCUCGAGAGCCAGACUCCCAACAUGACUACUUUCUUAAAAAUCGAAGAGAAGCUUCGUGGCAAGGUAGACUAGCAAACAUGCCCAACCUUUACUCACAUUCGAGAAAACACUCCCAAUAAGAUUGCUUGCUCCAAAAUCGAAGAGGCACCGCCCUCCGAAUCUCGAGAGCCAGACUCCCAACAUGAUUACUUUCUCAAAAAUCGAAGAGACACUGCUCCCCGAAUCUUCGAGAGCCAGACCCCCAGCAUGAUUGCUUUCUCAAAAAUCGAUGAGGCAUCGUUCUCCGAAUCAAUCGAAGAGGCGCUCGCUUUCUCAAAAGCUGGGCUGCUCAGAGACCACGAGGGCCAAUCUCAGAAAUCGAAGAGGCACCUACUUUUCUAGCCUUGUCAGCACCUGACACACGCACACUCAGCUUUGCAGAAAUUAUGGGCAUUCUGUCGAAGACUUCUGGUGAAGUAGAAAGCACAUGAAUCUUACUGUUCAAUCACCCACUUCCCACACGCAACAAUAGCUCAUGGGUACCACAUAUAACUUUGCCAAAGUUCUCUGCCAAAGUUGAGCACGUGAAGCUUGCAGCUCCUACUACAUCGCUCUGACCAAGAAAGGUAAAAGAAUAGCAAAGAAACAGCACUAACAAAGUUUAGACACAUAAAUUUUGAAGGUCUAGCUACCAUAUUAUUACCCACAAGGGUAAAGGAACAGUACCACUGCUGGAUAAUUGGAAAGUCCUUGUGUGUCAACCUCUGUGCUUCGUGGCAAGGUAGACUAGCAAACAUGCCCAACCUUUACUCACAUUCGAGAAAACACUCCCAACAAGAUUGCUUGCUCCAAAAUCGAAGAGGCACCGUCCUCCGAAUCUCGAGAGCCAGACUCCCAACAUGACUACUUUCUCAAAAUCGAAGAGAGGGUAAAGGAACAGUACCAUUGCUGGAUAAUUGGAAAGUCCCUGUGUGUCAACCUUUGUGCUUCGUGGCAAGGUAGACUAGCAAACAUGCCCAACCUUUACUCACAUUCGAGACAACACUCCCAACAAGAUUGCUUGCUCCAAAAUCGAAGAGGCACCGCCCUUCGAAUCUCGAGAGCCAGACUCCCAACAUGAUUACUUCCUCAAAAAUCGAAGAGACACUGCUCUCCGAAUCUCGAGAGUCAGACCCCCCAACAUGAUUGCUUUCUCAAAAAUCGAAGAGGCAUCGUUCUCCGAAUCUCGAGAGCCAGAUACCACAGACCACUUUUUCAAAGUGCUCUGACAGAGUUAAAACAUGUGAAACUGGCAGCUCCCACUACCGUGUUAUGACCAAGCAGGGUAAAGGAAUAGCAUUACUACUUGUUGUUAGGGAGACUCCUAUAUAUGUCGACCUCCAUCCCCAACGGACAGGCAGACCUGCAAAAAUGCUCAACCCUUCAUCAUAUCUGAGAGGGCACUCCCAACGAAGCCUUUCGAAAUAUUCAGCUUUCUUUCCCCCCGAUAAUACCUCUGCAAACAAGCUAUACUAGAGCAAGAAUAUCUCAUAUCAUCAGGGUUAAAAGCAAGAGUAUCCCAUAUCAUGCUUUUUCCCUGUCUUUUCCUUUGGCCUUGUUUUUACCUGCAAGACAAGGAGAAAGAGAGCAAUCAGUCAGCACUUGGAAUCAAGCUUCCAGCCAGGAACUGACUGCCUGGAACCCGUUACCUGAUUACUUACCUGGCAUUGCUCUCGAGUACUCAUCUUCAACAUCUUAUGUUUCCAGGGAAGAUUCCGCAUCUGCUUGAGGAACAGAUAGGGCAAGUGCGAAGGAUACAAGGAAGCAUGUGGAGACAAGCGUAACAGCACACGUGCCAAUACAUCCAUUACUCUGUCAAAAGCAAAAGUAUCCCAUAUCAGCAGGGUGGAACGUACUCUAGAUUUGAUGGACUUGUUUUGACCCUCAAAUUCUUCAGUCGGCCUUAUACUCUGGAGGAAACCAGAAAACCCUCCAGCUCAGUUCAAGAAUAAGCCUGUGGAAAGUUACUUCUUCAAAAGCAAAAGUAUCUCAUAUCAUCUCUUCUCAUUUUUCUUCUCUUUAUCCUUCAUGCUGUUGCAAGAUGGGGAGAAGGUGAACAAUCAGUCGGAGCUCUGAUUACUUACCUUGUCUGUCACCUCUUUCAGCAGACCCCCUAGCUCGGCGACUUGGGGGACUCCUACUACAUGGUUUGUAUCGCGCUUGACCAAGCCUGAAACUACAAGUAAGCUUCAAGUGAAAUUGAUACAUUACCUUGUGCAUCUCCACCAGUUAAAGAUACCACCCCUGGAUGGAGGAAGAGUACUUCCAGAGAAGAUGCCACAUCUAUCUAUGAGACAGAUAAGGCAAGUCAAGAUGACACCACACUCCGAUACUUAGAAGUUUCGUGAUUACGAGAUCAUUCUCCCACAAUAUUUCCUAAUGUCAUUUGUACUAAAUCAUUCACUUGUACUCACUAAAGGAGAGCUUGAACCUAUGUACUUGUGUAAACCCUUCACAAUUAAUGAGAACUCUUCUAUUCCGUGGACGUAGCCAAUCUGGGUGAACCACGUACAUCUUGUGUUUGCUUUCCUAUCUCUAUCCAUUUAUAUACUUAUCCACACUAAUGACCGGAGCAAUCUAGCGAAGAUCACAAAAAGCGACCGUUUUCGCUACCUAGGAUCUAUCUUGCAAGAGAACGGAGAAUUAGAUGGAGAUCUCAACCAUAGAAUACGAGCUGGAUGGAUGAAGUGUAAGAAUGCAUCCGGCGUGUUGUGUGACCGUCGUAGGCCACUGAAGCUCAAGGGAAAAUUUUAUAGGACGGCAAUAAGGCCAGCGAUGUUGUAUGGCACAGAAUGUUGGGCGGUGAAGCAUCAACACGUACACAAAAUGGGUGUAGCGGAGAUGAGGAUGCUUCGUGGGAUGUGUGGGCACACAAGAAAGGAUAAGAUUGGGAAUGAGGAUAUCCGAGGUAAAGUAGGAGUAGCCGAAAUUGUAGGAAAGAUGAGAGAAAAUCGGCUUCGGUGAUUUGGACAUGUGCAAAGAAGGCCGACUGACGCUCCGGUUCGAAGAUGUGACUACGGGACAGAGGUUCAGGGCCGAAGGGGUAGAGGAAGACCUAGGAAAACUUUGGAAGAGACUCUAAGAAAAGACUUAGAGUACUUGGAUCUAACGGAGGACAUGACACAAAACCGAGCGCAAUGGCGUUCUAGGAUUCAUAGCCGACCCCACUUAGUGGGAAAAGGCUUUGUUGUUGUUGUUGUUGUUGUUGUUGUUGUUGUUGUUGUGUGUUGAGUGUGAAUACCAUUUUGUACGCAAGAUUGUUGCAUGUUGAAGCCUAGAUUCUAUUAUGGACAGGGAAUUGUCUAAAUAUAUUGUAAAAUAUUUGACUGAAUUUAAGUUAAAUGAAAUGUAAGAACCGACUAAUAUUGGAUAUCAGUGACAGUGUGCAGGUAAGUGUUUGUUGAGGUAUGUGAAAACUUUUUGGAAUAGUCUUGAGGUUGAGGGUAAUGGAAGCUGUUCUUUGAUAGGCAUCAUAAGGGACACCUUCCCGGACUUGAACCUGGACCAAAUGCUAGUUAGGAAUUAGAUUAGGAAAGUGCAUAACUAAUCCGGUGUACUAGGAUCCGCACUGAGCUCAGUUUUUGGAUAAGGAAAGCAGUUUUGUUGCUCUUUUGUUGUACUACUAGUAAGAAUGGUUUGACAUGGUCCUUUCUUUGUGCAUGCAUAUCUUUGGUUUCCGCAAUGAUUUGUUAAUGAAAUGAUUAAGUUCAACUGAUGUGGUAGCUACUGAUGGCAUUUUGGGCGCUCAUUUCUUGUUGGAUAUUAUUUGUUUCUUGUAAUUCUAUAUUUUUCAUUAUCAGAUGCAAACUAGCGCUUUAGUCUGUUAAAGGAUUAUUUUUCUGGUUAAUGUUCAGUUAAAGUAUUAAAUCAUAUUUUUCUGUCUUUAUCUGCAGUCUCUUGAUAAACAAGGAGUAAGUUUCUGUACCCGGACCACACAUGAUGACAGUGCCAUCACAAAUGCUGUUGAAAUAUACGAUAGAUUGGGGUAUUUUAGCUAGUUCUGAAAAUCUGUUCAUCUGAAUUUUUUCUUUUAAUAAAACACAAUUUGAUAUAGAAACGCUUUUUCAGGGGUGGAAUGCAUUUCAUGGCAUCCAAUAAUGACUGCGGCAUAAGAGAAUAUGACAUGGAGAAGUUUCAGCUUUUGAAUCACUUUCGUCUCCCUUGGCCAGUGAAUGUGAGUCAUCCUAAGAACUUAAUUCAUAUUGAUGGUUUCUGUCAGAUAAACUUACCUGCCUUUUUCUACUUCUAUACUAAGAAUCUACAUAUUUGUCUUUACACUUUCACUUUCUGUGAUUUUCAUUGACUCCAACCUCCCUGGAUAUUAAUAUUAGAAGGCUAAGUUGUGCAUUGAAGAGUAUUAUUUCUGAUAUAUUUGGAAAUUGUUGAGAUGUCAACUAGGAAGUCAAGCUUUCAAAUCAGUUUUAUUUUGUUCAAUUGGUCAUGCUGAGGACAAGGACAAUUUUUAAAAUAAAAGGAAAUUGGUGACUGGUGUAGGUCACAGACUAAUUUCAUAUUUUGGUUUAGCUUGAUGGACAUAUCGUUUUCUUUUAUAGAUAAAUUGAAGCAAUAUUCCUUUUCAGCUAAUGACAUAGGAACAAUUUUCCUCUCCAACUUGCCAAAAUUCCUUUUCAUAUUUUGGUCGAUACCACUUGCCAAAAUUUUUCUUCGUUGACCCUCUCCUUAAAGCACAAAAUGUUGAUUGAGCCAAUCCUAGUAUUGAAAAUAUUUUGCAGACUUGAAACAAAUUACCUCUUUGAAAUAGAAGAGUGCAAUAUACUUAAGUGCUUGUAAAUUGGAAGUGAUCUGCAAUUGCUUAAACUGGAAUUAAUGUGUUGGUUUCUGUUGUUAUUCCUCCCCUAACUCUUUUACUUAACGUGGAGCUCACCUUGUUUGCAGCAUACAUCAAUAAGCCCAGAUCGUAGGCUUGUUGCCGUUGUUGGUGAUCAUGUAGAUGCAUUGCUCAUGGAUUCGCAGAAUGGGAAGGUACCAAGAUCUUUUUCCUGAUCAUGAUACUUUUGUCUGUAACUUAUUUUGUUGCAUUUCUUUCCAUAGAAAUAUUCUUGCUAAUAAGAUGAGGUAAACUGUGAAAAUUGAACGCGAGACAUGUAGACUUCGAGGAAAUGGUUAAUGGUGGUAAAAUACCAAUACAAGUGUCAUCUUUAAUACGAUAACAGAUUUUUGCUUACAUAGUUGUUUUUAUAAUUGUUCAGCAUAAAGAUAUCUACUUUUUAUUUAUCUUUUAAUAUACCUUAACUUUGUGUUAGCGGAGCAGUUGUGCUUCUAAAUUCCAAAUUUACCCCUAAAAGCAUUUUCCAGGUUUUAUUUUCAAAGAUGGGAACCGUUUACUAACCAUAUACAACUUUGUUUUUUUUUGUUUUUUUUUGUCAUUCCAGACUAUUGCUAAGGUCGUUGGUCAUCUGGAUUACUCUUUUGCGUCAGCAUGGCAUCCUGAUGGUUGCAAUUUGCCACUGGAAACCAGGACAAGACUUCCCGAGUCUGGGACAUAAGAAAUCUUUCAUUGCCAGUUGCCGUUCUGAAGAAUAGCUUGGGUGCUGCUAGGUCAAUUCGCUUUUCAUCAGAUGGUCAGUUCUUGGUGGUCGCGGAACCUGCAGAUUUUGUGCAUAUAUAUAGCACAAAGGCAUACUACAAAGUGCGGCAAGAGAUUGAUUUCUUUGGGGAGAUAUCCGGUGUAUCAAUGAGUCCCGAUGAUGAGUCUCUGUAUAUAGGAAUCUGGGACCGAACAUACGCCAGCUUGCUACAGUAUAACAGAAGGCACUAAGGGUGGAAACCCUCGUGUGGAUAGUUUUGCUUCAUCUCGCUCAUAAGAAACCACCAAGGGUGGAAACCCUGGUGUGGAUAGUGAGCCAGAUGGUAUUGUUGUACCCUUCAUAAUGUCCCCACAUAUGUGUAUUGUGGAGGGUGUAAAGAUUGUGAGUGUGAAAUAUGGAGCUUGUCUUUGCCUUUCUCGAUGCAAAGGAAUUUAACCCAUUACUUCUCUCAGAUCCAGCUUCCUCCCUCGGAUGAUCCAUUCUCUCAAUGAUUCAAUCGAUACCCUACUAUCUUUUGAACUCUUCUGGAUAAGAUAAGGGUGUUUUGGGUAGAAAAACGUGAUUCCGGAUGAAGGCUUUGUCCCGGAAUCCGAAUACUAGUUAUUGUUCGGUAGUCUGAUUCCGAGAAUAUUAGGAAUUGGAUUGCUGAUUUUGAGUGGACCCUGCAUAAAUUUUUAUUCCCCAAUGGAUAGUAGACACUGGAAUCCUUUCAGUCAUGAAUGAUUCUCUUUCAUUUCAUUUCCAACCCCUGUUGGUAAACACGCACAGAUGUUGUAUAGAGACUUUCAAAUGACAGAUGUAUUCCUGUUGGACCACAUAGCUUGGUGAGUAAAAUGAGUACUACCCAGACAGCAACUAAGUAUCAUCCGUGCAGAUGGGCCGAACUUUAUCUCCUUCCUCUCUCACACACACAGUACACACGCACGCACAGAGAAAAGAGAGACGGCGGAGCCGCGCAGAGAGAGAGAGAGAGAGUAGUGUUUCCCUUUCAUCUCUUACUUAUCUCCAGACUCUGCAAAUCAUAACAGCAAGUGGAUUAGCUAGCUGCCUGGAUUGCAAUCCCGACCCUCUGUUUUCCAGGCAAGUGUUUGUUCCUUCUUCUUACUCCCACUUUCUUUUUUUUCCAGUGUUUGGUUAUUAAUUUAUUAAUUUAUUGUUAUUAUUUCAAUUUUUUCAACCUCAAUUUGCUGUAAUUUUUUACCCUCUCUAAUAAAAUUUGUUUCGCCUGAUUUUUGUUUGCUUCAAACAAGAACGCUUACUGCAUUCGGGCCAUUCAUAUUUUUUGCUUAUUGCAGUUCAGCCAUCGACUUCGCCUAUGUAAUUUUACAUUGCCGGUCCCAAGCCCGGAUAAAGGAGGAGGGGGAGGGCGUCAGGUAGUCGACAGCCGGCACUCCAUGAUCACGUCGAAUCCUUAUGAAAAUGAAUCCAGAACAAAAUCGCGCUAAAGCUAGGGCGUCACCCGUAAGUGGUGCGCUGUGUGGCCCGAGCACAGUGAUAAGUGAGCAAGGGUCGCUGUAUCUCCAUCGGCACCCGGAUGCAGUGUUAAAUGAGCAAGGGGGCCGUAGAAACUUCUUUUCGAACGACUUCACUCAAAGUUGUUUGGGAGCAUAUGCUCCUAUCAACUUUACACGGGACACACAAAAGAAGUACUUUGAUCAUAUUAGACGGGGGAGGGUGAAGAAGCUAGGACAGAAGGGUAGAGUUCAAGAGAGCAAAAUGCGUUUAGGAACGUGGAAUAUAGGAACCUUAACGGGAAAAUCUAUGGAAGUAGUGGAAGUUAUGGUGAGGAGAAGGAUAAAUAUUAUGUGCCUACAAGAAACUAAGUGGGUUGGUAGUAAGGCAAAGGAUCUAGAAAACUCAGGGUUUAAAACUUUGGUAUUCGGGCACAAAUAGAACGAGAAACGGUGUUGGGCAUCAUCGUGGACAAGACCUUGACACAAGAUGUUGUAGAUGUCAAGAGGGUAGGAGAUAGAAUCAUGGCAAUCAAGAUUGUAAUAGGACAAGAACUUAUCAAUGUGAUUAGUGCGUACGCACCUCAAGUAGGAUUGGAUACGAGUUCGAAUGAGAAAUUUUGGGAAGACCUUGGAGACUUGGUGCAAGGAAUUGCUCAGACGGAGAAGUUAUUUAUAGGAGGAGAUUUAAAUGGACACAUGGGCAGGGAGACAGGCAACUAUGGAGGUUUUCAUGGUGGCCAUGGUUUUGGGGAGAGAAACGAGGAUAGGGAAGCUAUCUUGGAUUUUGCAAUGGCAUAUGAUCUCUUCUUAGCCAACACCUUCUUUAAGAAGAGAGAAGAACAUGUGAUCACCUACAAGAGUGGGUCGUCAAAAACACAAAUAGAUUUUCUUCUAAUGAGGAAAAGGGAUCGUAUAACUUGUAAGGAUUGCAAAGUUAUACCAGGAGAGAGCGUGGCUAAUCAACAUCGCUUGUUGGUGAUGGAUGUACAUAUCAAAAGAGUGAGACAAAAGAACAAGACUUGGAAGUGCCCAAGGACUAGAUGGUGGAAUCUAAAAGAAGAAAAACAAGUCAUUUUCAAAGAGAAGGUAAUCACCCAAUGUGUGUGGGAUAGAGAGGGGGAAGCUAGCCAAAUGUGGGAUUCCAUGGCUAGUUGUAUCCGAAAAGUAGCAAAAGAGGUAUUAGGAGAGUCCAAGGGCUUUGCCCCACACCAAAAGGAAUCUUGGUGGUGGAAUGAGGAGGUACAAACAAAGGUGAAGACUAAGAAGGAAUGUUGUAAAGCCUUAUACAAGGAGAGGACCGAUGAAAAUGGUGAAAGGUAUAGAAAAGCGAAGCAAGAGGCGAAGAAAGCUGUCAGAGAAGCUAAGUUAGCGGCUUACGACGAUAUGUAUAAACGACUAGAUACCAAAGAAGGAGAGUUGGAUAUCUAUAAACUAGCUAGAGCAAGGGAAAAGAAGACAAGGGACCUAAACCAAGUGAGGUGCAUCAAGGAUGAGGAUGGAAAGGUUCUUGCUACAGAGAACGCGGUUAAAGACAGAUGGAGAGGUUAUUUUCAUAAUCUUUUCAAUGAAGGACAUGAAAGGAGUGCUUCUUUAGGGGAGUUGAGUAACUCAGAAGAGUGUAGAAACAACUCUUUUUAUCGUCGAAUCCGGAAGGAAGAAGUGGUUGUAGCUUUGAAGAAGAUGAAGCAUAGAAAAGCAACAGGCCCAGACGAUAUACCAAUCGAAGUGUGGAAAGUUUUGGGAGAGACAGGUAUAACAUGACUCACUGACCUUUUCAAUAGGAUUUUGAAAACGAAGAAGAUGCCAAAUGAGUGGCGAACGAGCACUUUGGUGCCUAUCUACAAGAAUAAGGGCGACGUACAAAAUUGCAUGAACUAUAGGGGUAUUAAGUUAAUGAGUCAUACAAUGAAGCUCUGGGAGAGAGUCAUUGAGCAUAGAUUGAGGCAAGAGACACGGGUUUCGGACAACCAAUUCGGGUUCAUGCCAGGGCGCUCAACCAUGGAGGCAAUCUAUCUCUUACGAAGAUUGAUGGAAAGAUAUAGAGAUGGGAAAAAUGAUUUACACAUGGUCUUUAUAGAUUUUGGAAAAAAGCGUAUGAUAGGGUCCCAAGAGACAUUCUUUGGAGGAUUUUAGAGAAGAAAGGAGUACGAAUAGCAUAUAUCCAAGCUAUAAAGGAUAUGUAUGAAGGAGCAAAGACUGCCGUAAGAACUCAUGAAGGACAAACCGAAAGCUUUCCCAUAACUGUAGGAUUACAUCAAGGCUCAUCCUUAAGUCCUUACCUUUUUGCGUUGGUAAUGGAUGAGUUAACAGGACAUAUUCAAGAUGAUAUUCCUUGGUGUAUGCUUUUCGCAGACGAUAUAGUGUUGAUAGAUGAAACUCAGGAAGGGGUAAAUGCAAAGCUUAACCUUUGGAGAGAAGUGUUGGAAUCUAAAGGUCUUCGCCUAAGCCGAUCAAAGACAGAAUAUAUAGAGUGCAAGUUCAGUGCAAAUGGAGGCCAAAACGAGUUAGGGGUGAGGAUCGGAGAUCAAGAAAUACCAAAGAGCGACCGUUUUCGUUACCUAGGAUCUAUCUUGCAAAAGAACGGAGAAUUAGAUGGAGAUCUCAACCAUCGAAUACAAGCUGGAUGGAUGAAGUGGAAGAGUGCAUCUGGUGUGUUGUGUGACCGCCGUAUGCCACUGAAGCUCAAGGGAAAAUUUUAUAGGACGGCAAUAAGGCCGGCGAUGCUGUAUGGCACAGAAUGUUGGGCGGUGAAGCAUCAACACGUACACAAAAUGGGUGUAGCGGAGAUGAGGAUGCUUCGUUGGAUGUGUGGGCACACGAGAAAGGAUAAGAUUAGGAAUGAGGAUAUCCGGGGUAAAGUAGGAGUAGUCGAAAUUGAAGGAAAGAUGAGAGAAAAUCGGUUACGGUGGUUUGGACAUGUGCAAAGAAGGCCUACUGACGCUCCGAUUAGAAGAUGCGACUAUGGGACAGAGGUUCAGGGCCGAAGGGGUAGAGGAAGACCUAGGAAAACUUUGGAAGAGACUCUAAGAAAAGACUUAGAGUACUUGGAUCUAACGAAGGACAUGACACAGGACCGAGCACAAUGGCGUUCUAAGAUUCAUAUAGCCGAUCCUACUCAGUGACUUGGAUUUUCCAAGUCGCCAACCGAGAAGUUUUCCUCACUCGGAAAAUUAAGGGAACACUACCCCAACCUACAUGCUCCACUCAGAAAGCUUCAACAUACAAGCUUCAACAAAAAGAAAAUUCAAAGAACUUAGCGAAGAAGGCUUUGGUGUAUUUAACACAAUACGUUGAAAUGAAGGAAAACUUAUUUAUUGAUAUCCCCGAUAAGCUACAAAUAUGUACAUAUACAUGAGUCAAAAUAAACAAACAAGAUGGAGCCUUCACAAAGGUUGCUUAGGAGAAGUCUCAGCAGUCGGUAGAGCCCCAGAAAGAGAAGGCAUCGAAGGGGGAUCAUUCGGAGCCUCAGUACUGGACAGAACCCUAGAAGGAGGAGGUAUCAGAGGUUGAUCAUUUGGAGCUUCAUUACGCGGUACAGCCCCAGAAGACGAAGGCAAUAAAUGCCUUUGGAACAAACCCACAAAUCUCUGAUGAUCAAGUAAAACCUGACCAUCAGUUUCCUUCAUCUGGUCAAGCUUCCUCUUCAUGUUUGUAGCAUAGUCAUGUGCAAGCCGGUGCAACUGUUUAUUCUCAUGCUUGAGCCCUCUAAUCUCCUGUUUGAGACUCAUCACUUCGGCCGCCAAUGAUUCAACUUGGCAGGUUCGAGCAAAUAGGCGUUGGGCCAUAUUAGACACAGAACCUGCACACUGAACACUGAGAGCCAGCGAAUCCUUAACAGCUAACUCAUCAGACCGUUUGGAAAGUAGUCUGUUAUCUUUGGGAGUGAGAAGGUUCCUGGCCACCACCGCAGCGGUCAUAUCAUUCUUCAUCACGGAAUCCCCAACGGUAAGAGGACCAGUAGGGGAGACGAAGGAUGGGCGCCAUAUGUUGUCUGGAGAAUGCGGGGCUGCCUCUUCAACAAGGUUCAAGUCAAAACGACAGUCGGAGGGGCCAGACAUUUUCAAAGGUGUUGAAGAGAAGAAGUCGGACAAAUCAAGAUCUUAGAAGUGCAAGAAUGGAGCUUCUACUGGUGGAGAUUCAAGUGUACUUUGGAACUUAAUGCCAGCCUCUAUAAAAAGCUGCACUCGACGGAGCUUCAGACAUCGAAGAGGCGCCUGCUCAGAAAUCGAAGAGGCGUUUGCUUUCUCAAAAGCUGGGCUGCUUAGAGACCACGAGGGUGAUCUCAUAAAUCGAAGAGGUGUUUGCUUUCUCAAAAGUUAGGCUGCUCAAAGACCAUGAAAGCCGAUCUCAGAAAUCGAAGAGGCGCUCGCUUUCUCAAAAGCUGGGCUCCUCAGAGACCACGAGGGCCGAUCUCAGAAAUCGAAGAGGCACCUACUUUUCCAGCCUUGUCAGCACCUGUCACACGCACACUCAGCUUUGCGGAAAUUAUGGGUAUUCUGUCGAAGACUUCUGGGGAAGUAGAAAACACAUGAAUCUUACUGUUCAAUCACCCACUUCCCACACGCAACAAUAGCUUAUGGGUACCACAGAUAACUUUGCCAAAGUUCUCUGCCAAAGUUGAGCACGUGAAGCUUGCAGCUCCCACUACAUCGCUCUGACCAAGAAGGGUAAAAGAAUAGCAAAGAAACAGCACUAACAAAGUUUAGACCCAUAAAUUUUGAAGGUCUAGCUACCAUAUUAUUACCCACAAGGGUAAAGGAACAGUACCACUGCUGGAUAAUUGGAAAGUCCCUGUGUCAACCUCUGUGCCUCGUGGCAAGGUAGACUAGCAAACAUGCCCAACAUUUACUCACAUUCGAGAAAACACUCCCAAUAAGAUUGCUUGCUCCAAAAUCGAAGAGGCACCGUCCUCCGAAUCUCGAGAGCCAGACUCCCAACAUGACUACUUUCUCAAAAAUCGAAGAGAGGGUAAAGGAACAGUACCAUUGCUGGAUAAUUGGAAAGUCCCUGUGUGUCAACCUCUGUGCUUCGUGGCAAUGUAGACUAGCAAACAUGCCCAACCAUUACUCACAUUCGAGAAAACACUUCCAACAAGAUUGCUUGCUCCAAAAUCGAAGAGGCACCGCCCUCCGAAUCUCGAGAGCCAGACUCCCAACAUGAUUACUUUCUCAAAAAUCGAAGAGACAUUGCUCCCCGAAUCUCGAGAGCCAGACCCCCAGCAUGAUUGCUUUCUCAAAAAUCGAAGAGGCAUCGUUCUCCGAAUCAAUCGAAGAGGCGCUCGCUUUCUCAAAAGCUGGGCUACUCAGAGAUCACGAGGGCCGAUCUCAGAAAUCGAAGAGGCACCUACUUUUCUAGCCUUAUCAGCACCUGUCACACGCACACUCAGCUUUGCGGAAAUUAUGGGCAUUCUGUCGAAGACUUCUGGUGAAGUCGAAAGCACAUGAAUCUUACUGUUCAAUCACCCACUUCCCACACGCAACAAUAGCUCAUGGGUACCACAGAUAACUUUGCCAAAGUCUCUGCCAAAGUUGAGCACGUGAAGCUUGCAGCUCCCACUACAUCGCUCUGACCAAGAAAGGUAAAAGAAUAGCAAAGAAACAGCACUAACAAAGUUUAGACACAUAAAUUUUGAAGGUCUAGCUACCAUAUUAUUACCCACAAGGGUAAAGGAACAGUACCACUGCUGGAUAAUUGGAAAGUCCCUGUGUGUCAACCUCUGUGCCUCGUGGCAAGGUAGACUAGCAAACAUGCCAAACCUUUACUCACAUUCGAGAAAACACUCCCAACAAGAUUGCUUACUAAAAAAUUGAAGAGGCACCGCCCUCCGAAUCUCGAGAGCCAGACUCCUAACAUGAUUACUUUCUAAAAAAUCGAAGAGACACUGCUCCCCAAAUCUCGAGAGCCAGACCCCCAGCAUGAUUGCUUUCUCAAAAAUCGAAGAAGCAUCGUUCUCCGAAUCUCGAGAGCCAGAUACCACAUACCACUUUUUCAAAGUGCUCUGACAGAGUUAAAACAUGUGAAGCUGGCAGCUCCCACUACCGUGCUAUGACCAAGCAGGGUAAAGGAAUAGCACUACUACUUGUUGUUAGGGAGACUCCUAUAUAUGUCGACCUCCAUCCCCAACGGACAGGCAGACCUGCAAAAAUGCUUAACCCUUCCUCAUAUCUGAGAGGGCACUCCCAACGAAGCCUUUCUAAAUAUUCAGCUUUCUUUCCCCCCGAUAAUACCUCUGCAAACAAGCUAUACUAGAGCAAGAAUAUCUCAUAUCAUCAGGGUUAAAAGCAAGAGUAUCCCAUAUCAUGCUUUUUCCCUGUCUUUUCCUUUGGCCUUGUUUUUACCUGCAAGACAAGGAGAAAGAGAGCAAUCAGUCAGCACUUGAAAUCAAGCUCCCAACCAGGAACUGACUGCCUGGAACCCCUUACCUGAUUACUUACCUGGCAUUGCUCUCGAGUACUCAUCUUCAACAUCUUAUGUUUCCAGGGAAGAUACCGCAUCUGCUUGAGGAACAGAUAGGGCAAGUGCGAAGGAUACAAGGAAGCAUGUGGAGACAAGCAUAACAGCACACGUGCCUAUACAUCCAUUACUCUGUCAAAAGCAAAAGUAUCCCAUAUCAGCAGGGUCGAACGUACUCUAGAUUUGAUGGACUUGUUUUGACCCUCAAAUUCUUCAGUCGGCCUUAUACUCUGGAGGAAACCAGAAAACCCUCCAGCUCAGUUCAAGAAUAAGCCUGUGGAAAGUUACUUCUUCAAAAGCAAAAGUAUCCCAUAUCAUCUCUUCUCAUUUUUCUUCUCUUUAUCCUUCAUGCUGCUGCAAGAUGGGGAGAAGGUGAACAAUCAGUCGGAGCUCUGAUUGCUUACCUUGUCUGUCACCUCUUUCAGCAGAUCCCCUAGCUCGGCGACUUGGGGGACUCCUACUACAUGGUUUGUAUCGCGCUUGACCAAGCCUGAAACUACAAGUAAGCUUCAAGUGAAAUUGAUACAUUACCUUGUGCAUCUCCACCAGUUAAAGAUACCACCCCUGGAUGGAGGAAGAGUACUUCCAGAGAAGCUGCCACAUCUACCUAUGAGACAGAUAAGGCAAGUCAAGAUGAUACCACACUCCGAUACUUAGAAGUUUCGUGAUUACGAGAUCAUUCUCCCACAAUAUUUCCUAAUGUCAUUUGUACUCUAAUGUCAUUUGUACUAAAUCAUUCACUUGUACUCACUAAAGGAGAGCUUAAACCUAUGUACUUGUGUGUAAACCCUUCACAAUUAAUGAGAACUCUUCUAUUCCGUGGACGUAGCCAAUCUGGGUGAACCACGUACAUCUUGUGUUUGCUUUCCUAUCUCUAUCCAUUUAUAUACUUAUCCACACUAAUGACCGGAGCAAUCUAGCGAAGAUCACAAAAAGCGACCGUUUUCGCUACCUAGGAUCUAUCUUGCAAGAGAACGGAGAAUUAGAUGGAGAUCUCAACUAUAGAAUACGAGCUGGAUGGAUGAAGUGUAAGAGUGCAUCCGGCGUGUUGUGUGACUGUCGUAAGCCACUGAAGCUCAAGGGAAAAUUUUAUAGGACGACAAUAAGGCCAGCGAUGUUGUAUGGCACAGAAUGUUGGGCGGUGAAACAUCAACACGUACACAAAAUGGGUGUAGCGGAGAUGAGGAUGCUUCGUGGGAUGUGUGGGCACACGAGAAAGGAUAAGAUUGAGAAUGAGGAUAUCCGAGGUAAAGUAGGAGUAGCCGAAAUUGAAGGAAAGAUGAGAGAAAAUCGGUUUCGGUGAUUUGGACAUGUGCAAAGAAGGCCGACUGACGCUCCGGUUCGAAGAUGUGACUACGGGACAGAGGUUCAGGGCCGAAGGGGUAGAGGAAGACCUAGGAAAACUUUGGAAGAGACUCUAAGGCUUAGAGUACUUGGAUCUAACGGAGGACAUGACACAAAACCGAGCGCAAUGGCGUUCUAGGAUUCAUAUAGCCGACCUCACUUAGUGGGAAAAGGCUUUGUUGUUGUUGUUGUUGUUGCAGUUCAGCCAUCGAACUAUCGUGUAUUUUUGUUGUGUCGAAUGUUCAAACUAUCGUGCUUGGUCAUGAGAUUUUUACUUUGUCCUGGCCUGGCGUAUGAACUAGUCCAAGUUUAUAAUAUAAAGGCGAAUUUCAAGUAGACCUGGCAUUUUUGGACCCGAUCCGUUAACCCGGCCCGUUAAUAUUAGUAUUUGGAUGGAUGCUUAACGAGCCGGGUCACAACCCAUUAAAUAAUGAAUCACUUUGGAUCAAUCCAUUAGAUCCGUUAGUUGAGAAGGUUCGAGUAAUUUCACUUUUGGGGUUGCCCGCAUAGGGCGUACCCGGAAAUGAGAGCAGUCCAAGAGACAAGGUUUCUCCUGCGCAUUCCAUCAAACGGUUGGUGGGCGUAAUCCAAGUGACCAAAUUUGGCAUACAUAUUGAUGGAAGAAUCGCCGGCCAAAGAUAGAUAAUGUUUUUUUUUUUCAGAAAACUUUGUUAAAGAAUCUGACCUCCGCUCAAAGAAUCGCCGGCCAAUGAUAGAUUAUGUUUUUUUCUUCAGAAAACUUGUAGGUCCUCCAUUAUCCCCUCACUACUUCAAAGUUCAUUCGACCUCCGCUCCCGCCAUGGGCAUUAAGACCAGAAAUGGGCAUUGAUCGAUGAGCAAAAUCUGACAAAAGCUUCCGUUGAUGCUCAUCUGUGUGAGGAAGACUAGCACGCAGAAGCUCCACAGGCAUUUCAUGAUGUAGCGCCCUGGUGGCCUCUGAACCAAUAACUUCUGUGCUUUGAUGACUAUAUAAAUAUUGAUUAUACUAUAGUUUCAUAGGCAAUACUUGGUGAGCAGACCCAAAAAUUCAUCAAAGGAUGCCUGCCAAAGGCGCGCGGUUAGAAAUGCUACAGCUUCCAGUAGCGUGAAGGUCACUUAAGAGUACAGUUGCAUUGGAAUGCAAAAAUAUUAAAAAAUAAAUAAAUAAAAAAGUUAACGGGUCUUAACGAAUGAAACGGAUGACCUAUUAGAUUAACAGGUUAAGUUCGGAUGAUCUGUUAGCUUAACGGGUCAGAUUGAAUCUAACCCAAACCCGAUAAACUCUACAUGUUUACAGGUCUUUCAAGAUGUCGCUGGACUUGUAAAUCAAGUUUUAAAGAUAACAAAUAGGAUAUUACACACUUGUCAAUAACUUGCGUUUUAUAACGUAUAAAGUAUAAAAAUUACUAAAAUAACAAGUCUUGCCUAUUUGUUGUCUUAUUUCUUGAACAGACAAGUGAGCUCUCACAGUACAAAUUUCCCCUAAAGUAUUUCCUAAUUCUAUUGGAUAAAGAUGCUUAGGAUUGUUGGAUUAAAAAGUCCGAAUCUUAUUCAGUUCCAAUGACUUCGAACCCUUCAGACUCUUCACUUGAUCCACAUGCUUCAGGCUCAUCUCUUGAUCGACCACCUUUGGAAUUGUCAUCUUGUCUUGUUUCUUCUUCUACUUUUGGUUCCGUCGACAUGAAGACAUGAUCAAAUUUGAAUUUCUCAACAUCUUCGGCAUACAAUGGGCGUAUACCACAGCUUUCCACCUUCAUGGAUUUGGAAGGUGGCAAGCUGCCCGCUGGAUUAUUUUUCCCAAACAUAGCCCGUCGUGGCAAGCUGCCCGCUGGAUUAUUUUUCCCAAACAUAGCCCGUCGUGGCAAGCUGCCCGCUGGAAUAUUUAUCCCAAGGGAAGGCGGUGGUGGUGGCGGCAAGCUGCCCGCUGGAUUAUUUAUCCUACGGGAAGACCCCGAUCUGAGGACGAAAAAAGCCCGCUGGUAGGAGUCAACAGGGUAGAAGUCAACAGAGACCUCAUUGACAAGUUUGUAAACAUUAGGGGAGCAUUUUUCUGCUACCCUUUCACUACUAAAGGCCUCAUUCCACACAAGCACGUGAUAUUGGUCGUAACCGUAGUCAUUCUGGCGGCUGUCUUGUGGGAUAGAGAAUACAGAAGUGAACAGUUCAUGGCUUUCACACAUGAAUUUGACAAUGAAAUUAGCUCUUACAAUCAAGGAACGUUGCGGCUCUGGAACCCCAGAAACAACAGCAGACAGAGCGAAACCAAAUAAACCUGUUUGAAACCAAUCUGGACGAAGCUUGAUGUUUACUGAAGAUCCCUCACUUUGAUAGCUGAACCAAUUUGGAAUUUCUUUUCCCUGACAUACAACCUGAAUCUCAGGCCAAGGAGUGUCCUUUGAUGGAGCACUAGUUGCCUCUCGCAUAAUUCUAAUCUGUGCUUCUUCCAUUAUGUUGCUCCUUGCAUUAUUAUCCAAUUUUGGGCAAUUAAUAAAACGUUUGCAAAAGCAAUCAUGUUGAACCCAACCUUGUGUGAGUACUGUCCUUGUACUUGACACUGUCUUCAGCGACGUGCAGCCUUCAGCUUCAACAUUACAUAGCACUGGGAGCUCUGGUAAAGAUUGAAGCUGCUCGCAGCCGACUAAGAAGAGUUUAGACAACCGAGAAGCUUGUUUGAUGCUUGUAGGUAUGCUCCUAACCUUGGUUCCACUCAGAUUUAAUUCUUGCAAUGAGGUUGAGCAAACGAGACCAUCAGGGACAUCCUUAAGGUGCUUGCAGCCACUAAGGUCUAAAGUUUGAAGCCUAAUUAGAUUUUCAAUAGGCGAAGGAAGCAUUUUGACAGCUGUCUCUUUCAAACAAAGAGACACCAAAUGUUCCAUUGGCUCCAAGAUCUCUGGGAAGUUUUCAAGUUUAGAGCAGCCAGAUAGAUUGAGUUCCUCCAGAUAUUUCAACUUACAAAUGUGGGUUGGUAGACUCACAAGUCUCUUGAAAUCAACCAAUGAUAAUUUAGUUAUAUCCCUGGGAAGCUCAGAAAACUCACCAAGAGAUGUGCAGCUCUCAAUACCCAAAACAUUAGAGACUUUCAGCUCACAGUUGUUGCUUGGAAGUUUCUCAAGGUCUUCGCAACGACCUAUAUUUAAGUAAGAAAUAUUUUUGUUAGACCAAACUGAUUCAGGCAACUCCUUUAUACCAGCGCCUCGUAAAUUUAAGUGUUGAAUAUUUCCUGGCAUCUCUGGAAGAUACUUGAGGCUGGUACAGUCUUGAAGAUGAAGAUGAGUAAGCUUGUCAAGAUGUUGAAAACACCCAGGAAUUUCAACCAAACUAAAACAGCCAUUGAGAUUUAUGUGCACAAUUUUUAGACUCCCAGAGAGAUUUGGAACUUCAAUUAGAUUUAUGGAGUGACGCAGAUCAAUAACUUGUAAGUUGACAAGUAUCUGCAACAAAUGAAAUAGAAAUAUAAAGAAUUAAUAUAAUUUCUACACUUGAUUUUAUACAAGAAUUAAAAUAGGCCUAUAAUAUAAUAUAAUAUACCUGGUCUUCUCUCCAAAGCUUCUUCUUAACAUUGCUAUAGGGCAAAUGUAGCUCAACUAGAUUUUCCGGACAAAAAUUUGAUGGCAAAGAUUCCAAUGGAUACCAAUCACAGUAAAGAUAACGAAGAGAAUCGGGAAGGUCUAGGGAAGCGUUCAAUUUGUGGCCACCAUACACAAUUAGCAAUCUUAGGUUACACAUCACUUUGAAGUCUGCACGUUUCAAUGGUCGCUUUGCAAUGUAAGACCAAUGAACCCGUAUGGCUUCAACAUUUGGAGUUUCCUGAGAAUAAAUGUGAAUAUAAACAUGUUAAAAUGUAACGCACAUUUGGAAAAAGAGUAUUUCCGAUGGUAAACAUGUACAAGUGUCUUAGCCUAGUCAAAUAUCCAAGAUAUUUGGUUCAUAUUCCAAAGACUUCCUAACACAAUAAAAAUUCAAUCAAAUUCAUCUCUUAACAAUCUGACUUCUUUAUUAUAAAUUAGUUUUACUUUGUUUUGUUGUCAUCUAAAGUUGUAAUUUUUUUCCUAAACAAAAAAGAAAAAAAAAUUGAAUGCAUUUGGCUCUUACCGUGUUACUCCUCAAUACACAAUAGACAUCCUCAUCAUUGAACAACCUACUCCGUUUACCGGGAUCUUUAAGUACAAUUGUCCUUCCCAUUUCUUGUAGCAAAUCGUGCAUCUCUAUGGUUUCCCUUCCCCAAUUUGAAUCAAUUGAUAUGAGAGACAUAUCAAUGAGACGUCUAAUUCCGGGUGUCGCAACAAAUCCACGAACAUCUAACAUUCGUUUUACCUCAUCCACAAGAUCCCCUUUAUGCCAACAAGCUAUAUCCAGAAAUAUCUCUUUCUCAUUCUCUUCCAAUCUAUCAUAACUUAUUCUCAACACUUUCUGGAUAUCUUCACUGGGAAAUCGUUUUAGUCUGUUGAAUUCAUCUUCCCAGUCUUCUUUGUUGCUCUGACAAUUGAAGAACAAUGACCCUAGAACUGUAAGAGCUAAAGGAACGCCUCUGGCAUAAUGCACAGCCUUUUCUGCCAACUCCUUAUAAUCUGUUAUACAAGUACUGUUAUUCUUGAAAGCACGCGAACAGAAGAGCUGAAGAGCGUCAUCCGGUUUUAAUACCUCAACCUCGUAGAUAUUAUCCGCUUCAACAGUUGCCGUAAGUGUGCCCCUGUCUCUACUUGUGAUAAUGAUUCUACUUCCAGUGCCAUACCGAAGACGAUUGCCAACUACACGUUCCAUUUGCAUUGGAGUAUUCACAUCAUCAAGAACAAUGAGGACCUUUGUGCGGCUGAGCCUUUUUCGAACACUAGUUGAUCCUAUGGAUAGAUCUUCUUCCUUGAAUAUCUCGCUUAGAAGUUUCUUUUGCAGGCAAUCUAGUCCAUCUGGUUGUUCAGAUUUCUCCCUAACAUUUUUAAGAAAACAAGAAGCUUCGAAUUUAGAAGAGAGUCUGUGAAAUACAGCUUCAGCAAGGGUGGUCUUGCCAAUACCACCCAUGCCCCAAAUACCUACAGUGAUGCAAGCGUCCGGUGAAUGAAUGCUUAAUAGCGAUUCGAUCUUCUUGAUGCGGCCUUCAAUUCCAACAUAGUCCUUUAAAUCACAGGAUGAUUCGCGACACAAUUUGGUCCAAAUAUCCUUUACAACUUCCUUAACUAAGUCGGCAUCAGUCCUGGCAUAAUGAUUAUGAAAGAAAGCAAUAGUUAGUCUUAAAUAUACAUACCUUACAAAAUCUUAGCACAAAUAAAAUCAUCACAAGUUUAAAGAAAAUUUAUAAUUUAAUACAAGUUAAAGAAUUAGUUAGUUACCCAUAAUUUUGUGAAACAAACCCAGAUAUAUCUGCUGCAUUCUUCAAAGCAUUGCUCCACUUGUGCACCUUAUCAAUACCGUCCUUGAAACGUUUUUCAAGUUGAGCAAAUGCACCCGCAUAACUCCCGUGUUGUUUUCGUACAUCAGAUGGAUUGAUGUCGUAGAAUACAGGUAUAACCAUCUGGCCAUGUUUUUCCUUGCAUUCGAGUAUAUGCACAAGCUCAUCCAAACACCAAGUGGAAGAAGCAUAGUCCUUCGAGAAAAUGAUCACCGAAAGCUGUGAUUCCUCGAUUGCUUGGAGAAGGGCAGGUGCGAUUUCAUCUCCUCUCUUAAGCUUGUCAUCAAUAUAGGUUGUGAUUUUUUUCUCAAGUAAGGCAGCGUGAAGGUGGCUGGUAAUACCACGGCGGGUGUCCUCACCUCUGAAACUAAUAAACACAUCGUACUUUUUUGUAUCAUCAGCAUCAACAGGAGCAGCAGCGGAUGAAGAAGAAGACGCGAUAUCCAUAACCUCUAGUUUUCAGAUCCAGCAAAAACAUGUAGUUGCAGACAGAUUAAUGUUUAAUUAAGGAGAUAAUAUUAUGACGUUGCACGAAUUAAGGAGAAUUUACCUAGAAUUGGCACAAAGUUUCAGUGAGUGAGAGACGAAAGUAGAAACAUAUUUUCUUUGAAAAAAACUAUAAUUUGAAGAACGAUAUUCAUAUAUUUGCAAUCUUGAUAUGAACGACGUCAUCUCAGCAUGUAAAACUACCAGUAGUUGAAAACCAUAAAAUGAUAUAAAUGCAAACCUCGUCUCCUUGCUUUGCUCCCCUCACAAUCAGUAUCAUCAUCGUCACCUGAUCGAUUCCUGCAAGUGAAGUUUUGGUUAUGUUUCGUACAGUUAUUAGUCAAUAAACAUAAAUCGGAUUAUUAUGCAUACCAAAAAACACCGCACAAAAGGAUGCAAAAAAUAAACUUGAGACCUCUUUGUUAUGUUCUCUUCCUUCUUUUCUAUUUCCAUCUGCGCUUUCUCUUUCAAUCUAUUGCAAUGAAGCUUUUCAGAACCUCUGUUAAGAGAACCGUUUAAUCCAAACGUCAAAAGGAGAAAUUAACAGCAGACGUAACAAAAAUUAAUUAGCAAAUUAAAUGUCAGCAUAACAUAACAACUGAACUUAUUAAUUACGAAGAAAUGACAAAAAAUAUAGAAAGAGCCUUAAACAGUAUCAAUAAACAUUAAACACUGACUAACCUCUGACAAGUUACCAAUUUGACAAGAAACCAAAUCUUCUGCACCCAAAAUGAGUGUCGCCUCUUUGUGGGACUAAUGAGUGUCUGCCGCCUAUUAAAUUCAUGAAAACAAAAUUAAGAAAAGUUAAGAUAUUGUAAGACAUGAGCCAUAGAGAGGCCACACCCAUUUUGGGUGCAGAAGAUUUGAUCUCAUUUGACAAUGGCUUGUUUGUUUUCUCCACCUUCAAAACAAGAAAAUUUCAACUUCAAAAUAAUAUAUCCAAAACAAUUACUUUUUUGUAUCUUCAGCAGUGGCGGCAGCGGAUGACGACGAAUAAGAAGAAGAACCACAUAUAUCCAUAACCUCUAGUUUUCAGAUCCAGGAGUAGUAGUUGCAGAGAGAUUAAUUGUGAAUAGAGAGAAAGAGAGACUGGUUCAAAAUUAAGGAGGAUACAACAAAAGCGAGAGAGAGAGUAAUUCAGAAUUAAGGAGGAUCUAAUGAAAAACAGAAAAGAGAGGGGGAGAGGGAGACUAGUUCAGAUUUUACUUGACUUAGCCUUUGACUAGAUGCACAGAGUUCCAAAAGCUCUUUUGGAAAAGCUCUAUGAGUAAGAGAUGACCAGUUACAGAAGCAUAAAAAUGGGCAUAUGGGAUGGGGCCCGCCCUUUACGCGCUUUGCGCAGGCUCCAGAUUUGCUGUCCCCAAAAGUAUGUCUCGUUUGUGUUUUUUUGCUAAUAUAUUGACACAUGUCUUUUAACUUAACCUAAAAUCAUGGUCUUAAAUGCCGAUAAUAUUAGCGAAAUAUCGCUGAUAUUAUCGAUUUUUCGUGGUAACGAUAUUUUAAUAGGUAUCCAAUUAGUUUUCGUCAAAAUAUCGCAAUAUAUUCGAUAUUAUCGAAACAAUCUCGUCGGAAAGGCAGCCGAGGCUGCGUCGUCGCACUACCCAGAUCUAUUGCAUACUCAGACCUAAGAUCUGCGCCUCAAUGACGGCGAUUCCGCCGCCGUUGCCGAAGUCGCGGCAAAAUAGCUUGUGGAACGGAUCGCAGUUGUAGAUCCGGAACCCGUGGUCUGUCCCCACGGCGAAGCAGGCGGGUCUUGGUUGAAGCAGACAUGGAAUAGAGAUGGAGGCGAGCGCGGCGCUGGCGGGGCGGGCUCUGGGGGGAGAAGGAGAAUGGGUGGUUGUUGUGGAGGUUGAGGUUGGGGUUUGGGGGCAAUUAGGGGUCGUGGUGGUCGUUGCUGGAGUCAACGACAGAGGUGGGGUUGUCGUCAGUGGGAUUGGUGAGGAAGGCGGAGGCGGAGAUGAAAGAGUGCGAAGAGAGAGAGAGUGAGUGAGAGCAGAGAUGAGAGAGUGUGAAUAAUAUGCGGUGGUUGUGCAAGUUGAGGAUUCAAAAAAUUGGGUAAUGUGAGGUAGCAGAUGUUGACGUUUUUGGAUAGUUUAAAAAUUGAAAACCAUGGACUUUGAGAUGGUUUUAAUCAUGAAAACCACCCAAGGUGGAUGGGUGAUGGGAAAUAGCAAGAUGAGGUGGAUGGUUUAUAAAGUGGAAUAUAUAUAUAUAUAUAUAUCUUAUAUAAAUUAUAAAUUAUUGUUUUCGAUUACAAUUUUACAUAAUUUAAUAGCAUCUUCAAUAUAAAUUUUAAAUAAAACCCCCACAACCAUAUAAUUCUUAAAUAAAUAAAAAAAAGGGUAAUAGUUACUCAUGUAUCUUACCAUGCAAUGUAUAAAGUGUAAAAUAUUAUACUAAUUCAUUAUAUAUAAAUGAUUAUGGUGUGUUUAAACUUCUUUUAUUAAUUACUACAUAUUUUCUACACUCACAAUGUUUGCCAGCUCGCUAUAUAAUCAACUUAAAUCAGUUAAAUCCAUCAUGCAAUGCAUUUCCUUCCAAUUUUUGUGAUAAACUAAUAGAUAAUUGACUAAAUAAACAUCCUGCAAAGUUUCAAUAAAAAUUUCCAAGUUUUUCUUACAAUUUCUGUGGUUUCCAUAUUAUUUUUAUCGAUAUCGAUAAUAUCCCGAUAUUUCCAUCGAUAUUUCCGUGUUUUUUGACUAUCGAUAUUUCUGAUAUAUUUAAUACCUUGCCUAAAACUAAUUCUGUUAACUUUAUUUAUUUAACAUUUAAAUUUAAAAAAUCCCAAAUAAUAAAAAAAACUGUUGGGUUAACGAGGUGAGCAAACCCUGCACAGACGCCUAUCACACCGUGGAGGUCAGACCCAAAAGUCUCUUUCUCCUUCAACAGCCUCCUGGAAUGCUCAGCCCUGAACUUCUGGGUCUCCUGCAACAUACAAUUCAAGCUAAUUACACAAUCAAACAUGCAUUUUGUAUUCCAGAAAGAAAAAAAAGGCAUGAAUUUUCAAACAUACUUGCAGAUUCUGCGAAUUGGGUAAUUGGGUCAGGAUAAAGUAUACUUGUGGGGCGUCGCCGCCGUGGCUCUUGGCGGCGUUUCGGAAUAUGGGUUUUAAUGGCGGAAGAAGAAUAUGAAUAACGACCGAUUAUGGCGUUUUGGAGGGAGGAGCGAGUGCCGGGCUCCAAACGAGAGAGGAGCCUAACCAGCUCCAGAUUUGGGUUUGCUCACCUCGUUAACCCAACAGUUUUUUUUUAUUAUUUGGGAUUUUUUUUAAUUUAAAUGUUAAAUAAAUAAAGUUAACAGAGUUAGUUUUAGAGUUAGUUUUAGGUUAAGAUAAAGGAGAUGUGUCAACAUAUUAGUAAGAAGACACAAACAAGACAUAUUUUUGGACACACUUUAGUAAGUCGCCAAUUUCUUUCAAGAAUUUCCAAACAAUAUCCAAGCAGUUUUGACUAAAGCAAGAGAGAGAGUAGUUCAGAAUUAAGGAGGACCAGAUGAAACAAGAGAGAGAAAGAGGAAGAAUAGAUCAGAAUUUACUCGAAUUGGCUUUUGACUAAAGUUCCAAAGGCUCCUUCAGGAAUAUCAGAUAUCAAUGAGUGAGAGAUGAAUACUUAUAAAAGUACACGAAGGGGAACAUGUGAUGGGGCCAUCCCUUUACGCUCUUUGCACGGUUGUAAAGUUUUCCAUUUAGUCAGUGACCAGUUUCUUUCCAAACAAUUUUCAAGCAAUAUCGAUUGAGGACAUUUUUAUAAUUUUCAAAAGAAAAUAAGUGAAUUUCACACUACAAAAUCAUAAAGAGCUAAGCAUAUAGUUGUUCACCAAUUGAGAUUGAACAAGAUUUGAAAUAUGUCUUUCCGAGCACAAGUGACAAAUCAAUUCAUUGAAUUAUAGAAUCUCAUCCCAUUUAGUUUGAUUUCAUUAUAAGAUAUACACAAUCAUUACAACUAUCAAUCUUACUACCAUAUUAGUUAAAUAAUUUAUGCUUUAAAUGCACGUUCGUUGUGUUCACUAAGACUUUUCCUUCAUCAACUUUGGUAUAUUUGAUUUCAAAGACCUUGGCGGAGGAAGUUGCUAUUGGAAGUUUGCAAAAUAAAAAGGAAUCGACAUCGUUACAAUAAAUCCAAGAUUGGUGAUUGAUCCUCUCUCACAUCGAACUCUGAACACAAGUAUGGAGCCUAUUCUGAAACUCGUAAAUGGUACUCCUAAGCAAUUAUUUAUAAAACUUCAUUACUCAUUAAUAUAUUGCAUGAUUUUGUCAAGUAAUCAUUCCUACUAGAGAACCUAUUUUGAGGGGUUUGGACGGUGGAUGAUUGUUAAGUUUUGAACGGAGAGCCCAAAGCUAUUCGACCAAAACGAAGAUGGAAAAUCCAGACUACAUAGAUGUUACAGAUUUUUAACAUCAUCGGUGCAACAGUGAGCAGCAACUAGAGCGCAGUGGGUUGAUCAAUUUACAAAAAAAUCCGUGACUCGAGCAGCAACUACGACACUUAUUUAGCUUGUUCGUGCAUCGUAGCAGAUCGAGAUCGACGAAAAAAAUUAAAACCCAAAUACUCAUAUUCUAAACUCUAAAAAAUUGAAAUCAAAUAAAUAAAUAAUUCAUAAAUCGAGUCAUGGAGGAUUCAAAAGUUCAAAAUCACCAUCCAUCAAUAAAAAAAAACUUGUGUUUCUCUAUAAGAGCUAUUAGGUUUUAGCCGGAAUAAAAGUAUGGAUAAAUACGGAGUGAUGAUAGAGUUUAAUUAUAGUGUGUGAGUUUAUAAAUUUGAGUUUUAUUAUUAAUUUUAUUUUGUACUUAAUAGUAAUUAUGCAAUAUGAUAAAAAAGACAAUUAACAUUUAAAAUUUAAAUUAGGUGUAAAAAGAGGUUACAUGAGUUUAAAUAAAAUACCUAUAUUCACAUGAAUUAUAUUUAAACAUCAAAUGAUGAUUAUAUUAAAUAGAUAUAUUCACAAGAAUUAUAUCUAACUAUCAGAUGAUAGUUGUAUGAAAUACAUGUAAGUAUUGUUGGCAAUCUCCAAAUUUUAAUACUAUAGUUGAUUUAGUCGUAGUUUUUAGCAGACUAAAUAAUAUCUUACAUGACCUGUUAGCAUGACAUGUUUCAGUAUUACCCAUGGGUACUUGUUUCAUCCUAUUAAAUGCAUGCACCUUUUAAUAUUUUUAUAUAUCCCCCAUCAAGCCCAUUCCGACCACUCCAUCAUUAACUCCCGAAUUUUAGAAAGACGAAUAGUUUUUAGGGAACUUUAAUAAAAAGCUUACAGUACUGUUUAUUUUAAUGAAAAAUCAUAUUUUUACACUAAAAUGUAAUUUUUCGUUAAAGUAAAUAGUACCGGAAGUUUUUCGUUAAACUUGCCUAGUUUUUAUAGUGCAUGAUUAGAAAUUAUAGUUGGAUAUAACGUCUUGUUGAUUGUUGUUUGGCGCUACUCGUUUCUCUUGAGAUUUCAAGUUCCAUUUGCCAAAAAAAAAAACAUAAUUUCUAAUAUAUGUCACAGCUUAGGUCGUGUCACCCGUUACCUAAGGAGUCAGGUUUGAGUUUGAAUUUCGUCACUCAUUAGCUUAAUGAGUUGACGUGAUGUGAUACAUCUAAAUGACGGGUUAACACAAACACGACAAAUACAACUUGUUUAUCAUGUCUAACUUUAGGGUGAAACCGAUUUAAUUGGGCAUACGGUAGAAAACCUAAUGGUAAAAGUCAAUUAACAUUUUACUUUGACACAUAAACAUGGUUAAUACGAGGAGCGAGGAGCGUGCAAAUGGGAAAAUAUAACAUAUGUCAUCUCCCUGCUCUUUUCUAUCUUUGUAACCAAACACAACCUCACCCUUACCAAACAUAAAUCUUCUUCGCCGCUUCCUCUUCCUUCCGCUCGAACAAAUCAUAACCGGCCACCGCGGCCUCGUCGGCUCUGCCAUUAUCCUGCAAGCUCCAUAUUCUAGGAUUCAACAACCUCGCACCCGCGAAGGUCUCGACCUCACAGGCAAAGCCGGCGUCGAGUCCUUGUUCACCACCAAGCGAGAAGCCCCAACUCGUCAUCCUCACCGCCGCAGAAGACGGUGGCAUUCACUGCUGGGUGGAGUCGACGAUUGGAGUAGUGAUUGUGUGUGGGGUCGACGGAGAAAGCUUAGUGCAACUAAUAAACUCGUGUUUUUUUUCUGUCUGGAAUUCCGACUUGUUGAAUUUUAUCAUUUUGGUUUACAUCUGCCAUGGGAAGAAGAUUAUUAUUUUGGUUUAGGUGGUCUGUCAUGGUAGAUCGGCCAUGGAAAGAAAGGAACAAGAAAAGAUGAAUGCUUGGUUAUUUGGGGCUGUUUGGUUGCUAAGAUAGCAGGGGUGUGGGAGAGAAUUUCAAAUGACAGAUGUUGUAUUCCUGUUGGACCACAUAGCUUAGUGAGUAAGUGUGUACUACCCGGACAACGUAUCAUCCGUGCAAAUGCGCCUCAACUGAACUUUAUCUCCUUCCUCUCUCUCACAUACAGUACACACCCACGCACGCACAGAGAAAAAAGGAGAGACAGCGGAGCCGCGCAGAGAGAGAAAGAGAGACGGCGGAGAGAGAAAGAGAGAGUAGCGUUUCCUUUCAUCUCUUACUUAUCUCCAGUCUCUGCAAAUCAUAACAGCAAGUGGAUUGCAAUUCCUUCAUUUCCAUCCCUCCCGACCCUCUGUUUUCCAGGCAAGCGUUUGUUCCUUCCUCUUUCUCCCAUUUUCUUUUUACCAGUGUUUGGUUAUUAAUAUUAUUGUUAUUAUUUCAAUUUUUUUAUUGUUCCAUUUGAAAACACUGAUAUAUUUUCUUUGUGGGUUAUCUUAUUCCUCGUUUGGCAUCUAGGAUUGGAUUGGAAUGGAUAAACCACUUUCUACCAUUGUUGUGUACCAGAAAUUUUGUUUCUUUUGAUUUCUUAUGUACGAAGAACCCUUUUGGUUAAGGCUAAAUCUGUGCUUUUCACUCAAUUUUGCAUAAGUUCUUAAUCAAUCCUAAUCUCUGAACAAAUGAUUAUUUGUUCUUAUCUCAUGUUUUUAUUUUUUGUAUGAUAGUUCUUUCUUUUUGGUUGAAUUCUUUUUAAUGUUCUUGUGAGUUGUGAUGCGAUCGCUCCCUCUGGCGCCUCUUCCCUGUUGAUGUGUAUAUAUGUAUGUCGUGUCAUUUGGUGAUAAAAGAAAAGGGGCGACCCCAACUCAACAAGGCUCCUCGCUUUGCUAGGGUCGGGGGGACGUCUAUUGUACACAACCUUACCCUUGCUUGCAAAGAGCCUGUUUCCACGACUUGGGCCCGUGACCUUUCGGUCACAAAGGAGCAACCUUUUCGUUGCGCCAAGGCUUGCUCUCUGUCAUUUGGUGUUAUGGUAUCAUAAUUUCUUUGGUUUUUAUUUGGGAGGGUUUUUGUUGUUGAACCAUCUUUUAUUUGUCCGUGAUUGUAUAACUGGAGCAUGAGAAUUUGAUGACUAGGUCAUGGCUGGGUGUUUUGCUUAAGACCCAGCGGAAAGUUCAAUUUUUCUGCAGAGAAACCUAGUGUUUGUUUCAUACACAAUGGAAAAUGUUGUGGAUUCGGAUAGUUAGGUAGGAUUCCGUUAUGGAGAAGAAUUUUGUCUUCUGGUGUUAGGUUGAGUCAACGUGAAAUACAAAAUUGGCAAAUUGAUACUGCUAAGUUUGCUAGUCAUAGAUGUACAAUGUCUUCUCCUUCUGAAUAUGGGACAUGCGGGUUCCUUUUUCCGCUUAUAGAUAUCAGUUUCCUAAGAACACUGCUUUGCACUUUGGUUGAAAUUGUGUUUGCUUGUAUGUGUGGCUAAACUUAGGGCUGAUGCAUGUAUUUUGAACCUUUUACAUGAUUAUGUGACUUAAAUUUGUUUUUGUUUAUAGGUACGACCAUAUGUUCCAGUGAAGAUGAUAAAAAUAGUGGAAACAAGGUCUAGCAUUGUGCUGGUACACUAUUAUCUCUGGUAGAUAAAGUGGGUAGUAUCAUCGCACUUACUUGGAUAGUUGUGCUUCUUUGUGACAGUUUCGCUUCAUCUUGCUCAUAAGAAACCACUAAGGCUGGAAGCGUUUAAUGUGACCCUCGUGCGGAUAGUGAGCCAGAUGGUAUUGUUAUACACUUCAUAAUGUCACCACACAUGUGUAUUGUGUAGGGUGUAAAGAUUGUGAGUGUAAAAUAUGGAGUUGUCUUUGCCCUUCUCAUUGCAAAGGGAUUUUCCCGUCACUUCUCUCAGAUCCAGCUUCCUCCCUUGGAAUCCUCCUUGCUUAUUAGGUACAGUCAAGAGGAAUUAUAAAAACAAUAGGAUCUCAGAAUAUCCCUUUUUCAGUUUCUUGCUCAUCUGUCAAAACUGUCCGCAGUCCUUCACUAGACAAGCAUGUUGUGAAGCAAAACAAGAUACGUUUUGUCCAAAAGCUACAAACACUGCUUCUUUCCAAACCGAAGUGCUAUAUUCCAAUUCAUAUUCUCAAUAAGUGUCGAGCCUACCUUUCCCUAUCAAAGCCACGAUCCAUUCUCUCAAUGAUUCAUCGAUACCCUACUAUUUUUGAACUCUUCUCAAUCCCAACAGCUCCCUUGCCAUCCAAUGCAACUAAAUCAUUAUCACAACUCUGUGUCCGUCUAACCCCAGCUGCGGCAGCCCUUGCUGCUGAGGAAUUAAGUCUCAAAUCAGCCAUCUCUGACUCCUUGGCCACCAAACUCCAGAAACUUCUUAUGCUCUCUUCUCAUCAUCGACUACUUCUGUCAAAGUUGGUUCACCUAGCUCCAGAUCUUGGUCUUCCCCCUAAUUUUCGCUCUCAUCUAUGCAAUGACUAUCCAAAUAAAUUCAAGACUGUUGACACCUCCUAUGGCCGUGCACUUGAGCUUGUCUCCUGGGACCAAGACUUGGCAAAGCCUUUACCAUGUCCAGAAGUUCAGUCACGUGAGUUAAUAGUAGACAGACCUUUGAAAUUCAAGCAGUUGACGCUCCGAAAGGGUCUAAAUUUGAAGAGGCGUCACCAAGAUUUUUUGCUCAAAUUCAAAGAAAUUCCGGAUGUGUGCCCGUACAAUACCCCCAUCUCAGACUUGCCUAAAGAGUCAAUUGAGGCAGAGAAGAGAGCUUGUUUGGUGGUGAGAGAAGUGCUAGGGAUGACGGUUGAAAAGAGAACUUUGAUAGACCACUUGACUCAUUUUAGGAAUGAUUUUGUGCUGUCCAACAAGUUGAGAGGGAUGAUCAUACGGCACCCGGAGUUAUUCUAUGUGAGCUUGAAAGGGCAGAGAGAUUCAGUGUUUUUAGUGGAGGGUUUUGAUGACAAGGGUGCACUGUUGGAGAAGAAAGAGGCUUUGGUGAUAAAGGAAAAGUUGAUGCGGUUGGUUAGAGAAAGCAAGAGACUAAGAAGAGAGAGGAAGAAAGCUAGGAUUAACAACACUGAGAUUGGUGGCUCUAGUGAUGACUUUGAGUCCGAUGGUGAUGAUGAUGAUGACGACUAUGAUGACGGUUUUCAGAGUUUGUUUGAGCCUGAAGAUUUUUAUGUGGAUGAUGAUGUUGAUAAGAAGGGUGAGAUAAUUGACUACAGGGAGAAAGGGCAGUUUUGGACUGUUGAUGCUCAUUUUGUUCAUGAUGGCGGGAAGCAACAAAUGGAAC